AUGGAAAAGCUCAUAGACUCAACUAAUGGUGAAUAUUCUAGAGUAUUUGACUACCACCUUGAGUUAAUUAGGAGCAAGCCUGGUAGUACUGUUGCAGUUACAUUAGACCCUGACGAGCAUGAAAAUAAUGUGUUUGAAAGGAUGUAUGUUUGUCUAGAUCUAAAGAAGGGGUUUAUGGCUGGAUGUAGAAGAGUUGUUGGGUUAGAUGGCUGUUUUAAGGGUGUUGUGCAUGGACAAAUAUUGUGUACAAUUGGGAGAGAUGCCAACAACCAGAUGUACCCCAUUGCAUGGGCAACUGUUGAGGUUGAGAGUUAUGAUAGUUGGUACUAGUUUCUAUCGUUUCUUUAAAAGGACAUUCAGAUAAACAACAAUGGUGAGGACUAGGUUUUCAUCUUUGAUCAACAAAAGGGUCUCAUAAGAGCAGUCAAUGAAAUAUGUCCAGCAGCAGAACAUAGAAUGUGUGCUAGGCACAUCUAUGCAAAUUGGAGAAGAUAUAUCAGAAAAUAUUUUGGGCAUGUGCAAAAGCUUCUGACAGAACAUGAUUCAACUAUCAUAGAGCAAAGCUUGCUCAAAAAAUAG
rnacentral:rRNA from 1 species